rnacentral:rRNA from 1 species
GACGAACGCUGGCGGCGUGCCUAAUACAUGCAAGUUGAGCGCUGAAGGUUGGUACUUGUACCAACUGGAUGAGCAGCGAACGGGUGAGUAACGCGUGGGGAAUCUGCCUUUGAGCGGGGGACAACAUUUGGAAACGAAUGCUAAUACCGCAUAAAAACUUUAAACACAAGUUUUAAGUUUGAAAGAUGCAAUUGCAUCACUCAAAGAUGAUCCCGCGUUGUAUUAGCUAGUUGGUGAGGUAAAGGCUCACCAAGGCGAUGAUACAUAGCCGACCUGAGAGGGUGAUCGGCCACAUUGGGACUGUGACACGGCCCAAACUCCUACGGGAGGCAGCAGUAGGGAAUCUUCGGCCAUGGACGAAAGUCUGACCGAGCAACGCCGCGUGAGUGGAGAAGGUUUUCGGAUCGUAAAACUCUGUUGGUAGAGAAGAACGUUGGUGAGAGUGGAAAGCUCAUCAAGUGACGGUAACUACCCAGAAAGGGACGGCUAACUACGUG